rnacentral:rRNA from 1 species
UUGGUCAUUUAGAGGAAGUAAAAGUCGUAACAAGGUUUCCCGCAGAAUGUUCCGUCUCUAUCGAAGCUUUGAACACGCACGACUCUAAAUAAUGCCGUCAAGGUCCACUAUCUUUAGCGGGCAACGUCACAUAAAUGCUGGAACCGUUAGCAAUAACCGCACCAGCAGCCGAGGUUCUCCUGGGCUCACAGAUUAGAUGGUGACGGUUGAAUGAAGGAAGAUGGAAGAGCACGCACGCUGCCUGGAACCUUCUGAUCAUUCAAUUAAGAUAUAACCGGUCAACCGUGGUGAAACGGUUGGAGAAAUGUUCCGUAGGUGAACCUGCGGAAGGAUCAUUA